GCUACCUCAGUGGUAGAGCAUCUGCUUGGCAUGCAGAAGGUCCAAGGUUCAACUGAGGCAUCUCUGGACA